rnacentral:rRNA from 1 species
AACGAACGCUGGCGGCAUGCCUAACACAUGCAAGUCGAACGAGAUCUUCGGGUCUAGUGGCGCACGGGUGCGUAACGCGUGGGAAUCUGCCCUUUGGUUCGGAAUAACAGUUGGAAACGACUGCUAAUACCGGAUGAUGACGAAAGUCCAAAGAUUUAUCGCCAGAGGAUGAGCCCGCGUAGGAUUAGCUAGUUGGUGUGGUAGAGGCGCACCAAGGCGACGAUCCUUAGCUGGUCUGAGAGGAUGAUCAGCCACACUGGGACUGAGACACGGCCCAGACACCUACGGGAGGCAGCAGUGGGGAAUAUUGGACAAUGGGCGAAAGCCUGAUCCAGCAAUGCCGCGUGAGUGAUGAAGCCCUUAGGGUUGUAAAGCUCUUUUACCCGGGAUGAUAAUGACAGUACCGGGAGAAUAAGCUCCGGCUAACUCCGUGCCAGCCGCCGCCGCGG